UUUAAACACUGGAGAGUUCAUAUAAAAAUCUGGAUGUCUAGCACCUCUUGAGAACUCGGCAUAUGUGGCCACAGUGGGUCCACAAUUUCUGCACAGCAGCAAAUGAGGAGACGCAGUGCAUGUGGCACUCUCCAGGUGGCCACCCUCAGCCACUCACAUGCAUAUUCGUUUCUGUGGCCCACUGCUGAAGAAAGGCCACUGCGGGGCAUGGUGCCAUGUACCUGUAAUCCCAGCUACUUGGGAGGCUGAAGUGGGAGGAUCACUUGAACCUGGGAGGCCAAAGUUAAAGUGAGCCAUGAUCGUAUCACCACACUGCAGCCUGGGUGACAGAGACCCUGUUUCCAGAAAAAAAGAAAAAAGAAAAAGAAAAAUGGCCAGCAACAGACCUGUGUAUCUCUAGGAACUUAUGAUAGAAGUGGCAUUUCAAUCAGUGGGAAGGGUUGUAUUAUUCAGUUAAUGGGGCUGGAUCAAUUGGCUGUCCAUUUGACAAAAAUGAAGUCUGACCCCUAAACAUUAAACAUUUAAAAAUAAUGAUAAAAAUAUUGGGGGGCUGGG
rnacentral:lncRNA from 1 species